rnacentral:lncRNA from 1 species
AGAGUUUUGAAAUGAGUUCUGAAUAGACAGCAUUUUCUUUGUGCGGGUGGUAAAUAACCCAGCGCAAAGUUAGCAAGUUGCAGCUCCGGCAUCCUGACUCCAUGGAACUUUUUUGUGGGGAGAAGGGCAGGAUGUUUUUAACAGAAUGUGAGCGCCCCGGAGCCCUGGAGAAAGCAAUCCCAUCUCUGAAUGGGGCCGUGUGGAGAAACCCGAAGAGAAACAGCAUAAGAGCCUUUUGGAAUAUAUCCCGGAAAAGAUAAUUUUCUACACAUCUGCAGCGUUUCUCCGGGUAAAGGUAAGAAAAAGAAAGUUUGGGUUGGGCUUUGGGAUGAUACCCAGAGCACUGAUGCAGGAUGGAUGUGGGGGAGCCGGGAGGGGCCCGCUCCCGCCCCUCCCCCUCUCCCCUUGGCCAGGUAGCUCUGAGGCCACCCGGGGCUGUUUCCCACCACAGCGGCAGAGAGCCUUGGGAGCACACGUGCCCCGGGUCAGGGACCCUGGAGGGACUGCAGCAUUCCACAGCCAGAGCUCCUACCAGAAUGUCAGUGUGUUUCUCACUGCAAAUGUUACUUGUACAUUAUGGAAUUCCUUUUAGGUUUAUAUUUGCACUGGGACUGACUCAUUUUCUAUUUAGGAUUCUUAAAAAAUCACUUUUAUAGUGCUCAGAUGAGAAGUACAUCUGUUGCUUACAUAUAAUAAGCAUCAAACAUGAAGGCAUGUUGUGUGCUGGAGCCAUUUGUUUGUCACUGUAGGGGACCUGCGCCACCCCCGCCCUGCAUGUUUCCUAUCUGGAGACGAGGAAUCAAACUUUAUGGUUCUUCCCUUGAGCAGUAAGAUCUUUUUUUUAAAUCCCCAGCUCAUUGGGUCACUGGAAAUGAACAUCAUUUAGAAUUCUGGAGUGUGUACUUUGAAUGAAGUUCAGAGGGACAAGAUUGCACUGGUGCAUGGUCAUUAGUGUUUGGGCUUCUGGAUAGGUUUCUGAAGCAGUACUUUGGAAACUAUGUUACUUGUUGGAAGGUUAUAUACACAUGUCAUUAGCACCUUAGCAGGAUGAUCUUUCCAGCAGGCUUAGAGGUCAAGCCAUUGGCUCUUGGGACUGUGUCAGUUUUCUGUCUUGUGAUUGUGGGUGAAGCAAACAGUUAUAAGUCAAGUAGAAGCCGAUAUGUUUCAGGGUUCUGAUAUUCAUGCAUUUGGUUGGAUGUGUUUGCACAGCCUGGAGCCUUGAACUUUCUACUGCACAUAAAUGGCUCUCGAAUUAACUGGAAGGGCCGCUUUAGGUCAACUUAGAACGAGAAAGGCAAAGGCAGGAAGUCUCCUGUAAACCAUGGCCUUGUUGAGAUAAAAAUUAUGACAUUCCUCAAAAAAAAAAUUGUUGUUGAUUAAAUAAGUUCAAAUAACAUGUUGUUUCCCAUGCGAACAUUAUAACCAGUUUUUAAAGACAAAAUUGUGUCUUUAGUUUGUUAUUAGUGGGUUACUUGUGAUUGUGUAAGUUUUUUGGGAAAAGUUUUACCUCCAACCUGCAAUAAAAAUUAAAUUUAGAGAUCCUGAAUUUAAAAAAUAUUUUACCUUAAUUAUUUAUUUAAACAUUUUAAAUUAAAAUAGGGCUUUGUACGUCAGAAAUAGGAGCCCUUAUGGAGUUCCCGUGUGGUGCAGUGGAAGCGAAUCUGACUAGCAUCCAUAAGGACGCAGGUUUGAUCCCUGGCCCCGCUCAAUGGGUUAAAGAUCCAGCGUUGCCGUGCGCUGUGGUGUAGGUCGCAGAUGGGGCUCAGAUCCUGCAUUGCUUCAGCUGUGGCGUAGGCCUGCGGCUAUAGCUCUGAUUGGGCCCGUAUCCUGGGAAGCUCCGUAUUCCACCGGUGCGGGCUGAAAAGAAAAGAAAAGAAAUAGGACCCCUUAAUGUAUUUAGGAACUCAGGUGAGGAUGUGGGCAGGAAGAAGCCAGGGCAGUACCUGUGUCCUGAAACCAUUUACUGGAGUUCGCCAGCAGAGGGAAGCACAGAGCAACGAACUCAGAAGCCUCUCCGUCUAGAUGUCUAAAAAUCUAAAAGUGAAAAAGUAUGAAAGUGGUACUUUUUGGACAGCACCUCCACUGAACUCACACACCUCUAAAAUAAAUUGAUAAAAUGCCCAAACAUGUUAAUCCCUAAAUAAUUCCCUCACCAUGAAAGUUUGAGGUGCGAGGACAAAAUUUGAUUUCCUCAAUCAGAGGUGUUUGCCCUGUGAUUUUACCUUUGACUGAUUCUCUUACAAAAGACUCUGUGAAUGCAAAUACCAGUAAUAUGCACACAUUUUCAUAAUGAAGCUUUUCAGGAUGGUUUUUCUGUUGAAAAAUACUGAGAAAAAUCAUAAUUCAGACUCACGGAACACCCUCUAUCAAACUCAGCAUUUGAUGCAAAAUGCAGCUUCAUAAAGGCUUCUAAUUAAAUCCACAUUUGCUUGAUGAGUGCAAUAGCACAGUAUUCUAUUUGUUAAAUUUUUUCUCCUCAAAAUAACUACGGCAAAGAUUUUCUGUUCUCAAAAAAAGAAAAACAAACAAAAAACCAAAAAACAAAAAAACCCCACAUGGACUACUCAAUAUUUGACAUACAUUUUACACUGGAAAUCCAGAAAGAUUAAGACAGAAUAAAUUGAGGAGUUCCCGUCAUCGUUGGCUCAGUCGUUAACGAAUCCGACUAGGAACUAUGAGGUUGCGGGUUCGAUCUCUGGCCUUGCUCGGUGGGUUAAGGAUCCGGCAUUGCCGUGGGCUGUGGUGUAGGUCACAGUCGCAGCUCGGAUCCCAAAUUGCUGUGGCCCUGGUGUAGACCGGCGGCGACAGCUCUGAUUUGGACCCCUAGCCUGGGAACCUCCAUAUGCAG